CAGAUCUCUGAAGGCCUGGGCCACGUCUCCCUCCAGAAGGACACGCUCAUGGCCGCAUUCCAAGGCCCAGGAGAGGACUUCAUUGGAGGCUCAAUCUUUGUCAAUGUCACCAUGUUCUCCUCAGGGGGUGAGAUGGUGCAAGCUGAGACCUCAGGGGUGAAGAUCAUCCAGAGCCCAUACAACAUCAAGUUCACCAGGACACCCCAGUAUUUCAAGCCAGGAAUGCCCUUCCACUUUCGGGUCUUCAUCUCAAAUCCUGAUGGGUCCCCAGCUUCCAGAGUCCUUGUCCACUCCCAAGACCAAAAAGUGUACACCUCAGCUGAGGGGUUGGCCACUCUGACCAUCAACACAGAUGCAAAUCUGGACAAGCUCCCCAUCGAGGUGAAAACUGAGGAAUCUCUUCAGCCAGAGGAGCAGGCUUCAGCCAAGAUGACAGCUUGGCCUUACUUGACUCAGGAUGGGUCAGGAAACUUCCUACACAUCGAAGUAAAGACAUUGGGCACAGAGGUUGGCAGCAGCAUCCAGCUGAGCCUCAACACAAGGCAUCAGGACCCUAAAACCAAGGACAAGAUUACUCACUUCACCAUCCUGGUCCUGAGUAAGGGCCAGACCGUGAGUGCCAAACAUCAGUCAAAAAGCCAGGGGAGUGUCUACACAUCAGCCAUUAUUGAUGUGACUUCAGCGAUGCUGCCCUCCUUCCGCAUUCUGGCCUUUUAUUUACUUCCCAGAGGAGCAAGCCAAGACCCUGAGUUGGUGGCUGAUUCCAUAUGGAUUGAUGUGAAUGACAGAUGCAUAGGGAUGCUGAAAGUUGGCUUGAAGAAUGAUAGAUUCUUCCAGUCUUUGGAGCCCAACAGCCAAGUCGAACUGAAGGUGACAGGUGAUGCAGAAGCCACAGUGGGGCUGGUGGCUGUGGACAAGGCUGUCUAUGUCUUGAACAGCAAACACAAGCUCACUCAGAAGAAGACUAGCCCUGCCCCCAGGACCCUCCUCCCAGCCGCCAUCGCCGCUCCCUGAAGAGGCUGGAGACAAAAAGGAAUGCAGUGAACAAGUUUAAGACAGAGCUGGAGCAAAAGUGCUGUGAGGCUGGGCUCCGGGAGAGCCCAGUGGGGCUGUCUUGUGAGGAGAGGACCUGGCAUGUCCGCCAUGGUCCAGCCUGUGUGGCUGCUUUCCUGGACUGCUGCCAUCUGUCUGAGACCCUGACUCGGGAGGCUCGAGAGGAUCAAUUGCAUCUGUGGACAACGGAUGAAGAAGAGGACUUCGAUGACCUCUUCUUGGAUGACAUGCCUGUGCGGACCUUGUUCCCCGAGAGUUGGCUCUGGAGGAAGUUCACUCUGCCAAAGAGUAAAUCGGGCAUCUCCCAUUACCCCAUCUCUGUGAAGGUGCCAGAUUCCAUCACCACGUGGCAGUUUGUGGUGGUCAGCCUCAAGGCUGGACAAGGUCUCUGUGUCUCGGACCCCUUUGAGCUGACAGUUAUGAAAUCGUUCUUUGUGGACCUUAAGUUGCCCUCCUCCGUGAUCAGGAAUGAGCAGGUCCAGAUCCAAGCCAUGUUGUACAAUUUCAGGGAUCGCCAGGCCAAGGUCCGAGUGGAGUUCCCCCACAAGGAGACACUGUGCAGUGCGUCAAAGCCAGGAGCACCAUCCCACCAGGCAGGGGUUCAGAUCCAGCAAACGUCCUAUAGCAUCGUCCUGGAACCCCAAGGUCAGACCCAGACAAAACUGGUGCCAAGACAGGAGUUCUUGAACAUGGUACCCGACACGGAGGCGGAAGUGUUUAUCAGUGUUCAAGGCUACACUCAGAUGCUGACCCACCGGAGUUCAGACGGCACCUACCACACCUCCAAGGGGAACCCAGGAAGCACUUGGCUCACAAGCUAUGUGUUCCGCGUCUUUGCCCUGGCCUACUCUAUGAUGACGACCCAAGUGCUUAGCCUGUCCUCUCUCUGUGACAUGGCCAACUGGAUCAUCAUCGACAGGCAGGCAGAGGAUGGGCACUUCCUGGAGAAGGGCCCUGUGGUCAUGACAUCCAUGCAGGAUGGCUACCAAGGCUCCGAGGAGGAUGUAUCCCUCACAGCUCUUGUCCUAAUAGCCCUGAAUGAGGGAAAGGAGUUGUGCAGACAGAAGAAUUUGAUGGCCAGCAUCGAGAGAGCCCGUGGCUUCCUGGAGAGAAAACUUCCCGACAUUCAGACAACCUUUGCCGUAGCCAUAGCCUCCUAUGCACUGGCCCUUGCCAACAGCUCCCAAGCCAACGACUGCCUGGACAGCUUUGCCAGCCCUAGUGGGUGUGGGAUGCUUCUUAAUCAACCUCAGUCAUGGAGUGGGGAGGGGGUGAUCUCAAAUCCAGCAAUGUGUUAUUCAUCACUUAGUGUUUCCUGAGCAUCCACUGUGUAUCACCUCCUGAGCUCAGACCCUGUGAGACCAAGACAAAACCCACUGGCCAGUGGAUGAGCAGAAUCUGGGCUCCCUGUACACCAUUGAGGCCACAGCCUAUGGGCUCAUGCAGAAGCUGGAGCUGGGCCGGUACAAUGAGACACACGCCAUAGCCAAGUGGCUACUAGAGAAGCAGGAGCUGGGAGGAGGCUUCAGGUCCACCCAGACCACGGUGGUGGCCCUUGAAGCUCUGACCCGCUUCCGCGAAGCUGUCCCCUUCAAGGGCAUCCAGGAUCUCCACGUCCAGAUCAGAGCCCCCAAGACAGCCCUGAAUGUGAAUUGGUACAUUGAUCACAGCAAUGCCUACCAACAGCGGUCAGCAAAGUUCCUUGCCCAGGACGACCUAGAGAUCAAAGCCAGUGGCAACGGGAGAGGCACCAUCUCGAUCCUGACAAUGUAUCACAAGUCCCCAGAGUCCCGGGAGGACAACUGCAACCUGUACCACCUGAAUGCGACUCUCCACAGUGCCCUAGAAGAAAAUAAAAAGGGAGGUGAGACUUUUCGGCUCCGGAUGGAAACAAGGUUCCAGAACAAUUGAGAGGCCACAAUGACUAUCAUGGAGGUCUCCCUGCUCACGGGCUUCUACCCCAACCAGGAUGACCUCAAACAGCUCACGAGUGAUGUGGAGAGGUACGCCUUUCAGUACAAAACCAAGACAAGUACCAGCGACAGCACUGUUGUCCUCUACCUGGAAAAGCUCUCCCAUGAGAAGAACACGGUGCUGGGCUUUCGGGUUCACAGGAUGCUGCAGGCGGAGUUCCUGCAGGCCGCCCUGGUCACCAUCUACGACUACUACGAGCCUUGACAGUGCCCAUCCCUGCAGAAGCCCAGUGGCCAAUUGAGGCAGGAGGAGCUCCAGACAACAGCAUGUGAGGCAGGCGUGGAUUUUGUGUACAAGACAAAGCUGGAAUCUGUGGAGGUCUCUGCCUCCAACCCUUACGUCUAUUACAACACGCAGCUCGAAGACAUCAUUAAGAGUGGUACGGACCCUGCCACACCCCUGGCCAUGAAGAAAUUCGUCUCCCAUGCCACUUGCCAUGACUCCCUGGGGUUGCAAGAACAGGAAUCGUACCUCAUCAUGGGCCAGACGUCAGACCUGUGGAGAAUCAAAUCUGAUUACAGCUAUGUUCUGGGCAAGGAGACGUUCCUCAUCCUUUGGCCAGCAGAUGGAGAUGCCAGCAAGAAAGAAUUGCGGGACCAACUGGAGGAAUUUUUGGAAUAUAUGCGCACCCACGGCUGCCAGUCCUGAGCCUCUUCUGCUUUCAGGGAGGUGUCAUCAGGCAGCUCUGGGCCACUGGGUUUAACCCCAAAUAAAGAGCACAGGAUAUGACACCCAAA